UACGAUGGGGGCAAAUGUUGUUCGGAAUCACUGGGCGUAAAGGGAGCGUAGGCGGGUGUGCAAGUCUGCGGUGAAAGCCUCCAGCUUAACUGGAGAAGUGCCGUGGAUACUGCAUAUCUUGAGGAGGGUAGGGGCAUCUGGAACAUUGGGUGGAGCGGUGAAAUGCGUUGAUAUCCAAUGGAACUCCGGUGGCGAAGGCGAGGUGCUGGACCCUUUCUGACGCUGAGGCGCGAAAGCCAGGGGAGCAAACGGG
rnacentral:rRNA from 1 species